GAUGAACGCUGGCGGCGUGCCUAAUACAUGCAAGUCGAGCGAACAGACGAGGAGCUUGCUCCUCUGACGUUAGCGGCGGACGGGUGAGUAACACGUGGAUAACCUACCUAUAAGACUGGGAUAACUUCGGGAAACCGGAGCUAAUACCGGAUAAUAUAUUGAACCGCAUGGUUCAAUAGUGAAAGACGGUUUUGCUGUCACUUAUAGAUGGAUCCGCGCCGCAUUAGCUAGUUGGUAAGGUAACGGCUUACCAAGGCAACGAUGCGUAGCCGACCUGAGAGGGUGAUCGGCCACACUGGAACUGAGACACGGACCAGAGUCCUAACGGAGGCAGCAGUAGGGAAUCUUCCGCAAUGGGCGAAAGCCUGACGGAGCAACGCCGCGUGAGUGAUGAAGGUCUUCGGAUCGUAAAACUCUGUUAUUAGGGAAGAACAAAUGUGUAAGUAACUAUGCACGUCUUGACGGUACCUAAUCAGAAAGCCACGGCUAACUACGUG
rnacentral:rRNA from 1 species